rnacentral:rRNA from 1 species
CAGUAGCCGCGGUAAUACGAAGGGGGCUAGCGUUGCUCGGAAUUACUGGGCGUAAAGGGCGCGUAGGCGGACAGUUAAGUCAGAGGUGAAAGCCCAGGGCUCAACCUUGGAACUGCCUUUGAUACUGGCUGUCUAGAGUGCGGGAGAGGUGUGUGGAACUCCGAGUGUAGAGGUGAAAUUCGUAGAUAUUCGGAAGAACACCAGUGGCGAAGGCGACACACUGGCCCGUAACUGACGCUGAGGCGCGAAAGCGUGGGGAGCAAACAGGAUUAGAUACCCCGGUAGUCCCUGUCUCUUAUAC